rnacentral:tRNA from 1 species
GGUGGCUCAGUGGUAGAGCACUUGCCUUGCAAGCAUGAGGUCCUGGGUUCGAUUCCUCAGCACCA